UACGAAGGGGGCUAGCGUUGUUCGGAUUUACUGGGCGUAAAGCGCACGUAGGCGGUUUGUUAAGUCAGGGGUGAAAUCCCAGAGCUCAACUCUGGAACUGCCUUUGAUACUGGCAAGCUAGAGUCCGGAAGAGGUAAGUGGAACUCCUAGUGUAGAGGUGGAAUUCGUAGAUAUUAGGAAGAACACCAGUGGCGAAGGCGGCUUACUGGUCCGGAACUGACGCUAAGGAGCGAAAGCGUGGGGAGCGAACAGG
rnacentral:rRNA from 1 species